rnacentral:lncRNA from 1 species
AUCCACCCAAGACCCGGUUCCUCGAUUCCCAUCCUUACGACCGAGGAAAAAAGAGUAAAUUUUCCUAUUAUAGCCUUCUCUCGCACCUUCCCCGCUUCCCACCAGCCGUCUCCACUGUCCUCACCGUCCCCAUCCUCAUCCAUGGCGAAAUCUUCGCCCCCAGCCUCGUGAAGAUCUAGCACGUCCGCCAUCUCGCCUUCGAUCGAGAUCUCGUCUGUGCCGCUCAGACACUAGAUGCUGUUGACUGGGGCAAAGAAUAAUGGGAGAAAAACAGCUGGGUCCUAAAUAACAGAGGGAAACCAACUUUCAAUAAAGUAUUCAACAACUAAUCCACAAAGCAGAUAACUGAACUUGCUGGCCUGCUCUAUAGUGCUGUUGCUUAAAAAGUCAUCUGUGAAGAAAACCAGAGGGAGAAAUUUCACCUGCCAAAGUGGAUAAAGAGAUGGGAAAAGUGAGGCCCAGAGAUUUGCCCCAUUGAUAUUCAGAAGAAUGUAAAUUUGGAUCUCCUAACUCUUAGAUGAGUACUGUUUCCAGCAUACAUAGUCCCUCCGAUUUGACCUCUUAGAGAACUCCAACAUUGCUUUCUUUAGUAAUUGCCUACGAAAAAGUACUGGAGGCAAGGAAUAUUGUUCUAUAUCCUCAAUAAGAGAUGGAAGAAAGUUGGAAUGCAAUAACUGAAGCCAGAUUGGAACAUGGGUUGGAUGCUGGACUGUGCUUGCAGCAAGAAAUAUUGAGGGAUGAGGUAC